AGUAAAGAAAUGGAAGGCUUUUCCGAGGAAAACAAAAUUCUCCCCAUCAAAUAUUGGAGAGUAUAAAGCUCCUUUCCUUUUUGUGGUUUAAAGCUAAUUUUGUUGUCUUUAAUUAUUCGUUUCAUAAAUGGUGCCUAAAACCUACUGCAUGUGUAGGUAUUGGCUAACUGUUGUUGUGCUACUGUCGAACACUGUUAUAUUUUUUGCUAUUGUUUCUAGCACACCUUGUGCUGGGAAGGUACUUGGACCGUCAUAAUAUUCCUAAGGGCUUAAAAGCCCUCCAGAAGGGUUUAGGCGCCCUAUAGAAGGGACUUUGGAGGCCUAGGCGCGUCCUCCUCAGGGCGCCGUCUACCUCGGCUUCUAGAAACCUCUAGAAGUCGCCCUAAACCGCCUAAAUGAGCUAAAAAGACUAAAAACCCUGCUUUCUUAGAGCUUAAGUCACGCAGGAAAAAGCCCAUUAGCAGGCUAUAAAUAACCCUCUUGGGGUCAUUCUAAAAGGAUCCAUUAUUAUUCAGUCUAAAACCCUAGAUUAGAACCCUAGUCUACGAUUCUUAACCCUAGAAUCCUUACCGUACUUUUUUUGCAAGUACAGUACUCAACUGGUUUUAAUAUUAUUCAUUUUGAUUUCUUUAAAAAUAAAUACAGAGGUAGUAUUUGAUAACUGAACAGAUGUCUAAUUUUAUCUCUAAAAGUGUCAUUCUCAUUCAUUCUUUAGGGUAAUUUGGCUUGCUUGUGUGUGGGCAAUUUAAAAAGAAAGGAACAA
rnacentral:lncRNA from 1 species